UACGUAGGGGGCUAGCGUUGUCCGGAAUCAUUGGGCGUAAAGCGCGUGUAGGCGGUCCGGUAAGUCCGCUGUGAAAGUCGGGGGCUCAACCCUCGAAUGCCGGUGGAUACUGUCGGGCUAGAGUGCGGAAGAGGCGAGUGGAAUUCCUGGUGUAGCGGUGAAAUGCGCAGAUAUCAGGAGGAACACCAAUGCGAAGGCAGCUCGCUGGGACGUUACUGACGCUGAGACGCGAAAGCGUGGGGAGCAAACAGG
rnacentral:rRNA from 1 species